AGCAUCUAUACGGUGAAACUGCGAAAGGCUCAUUAAAUCAGUUAUCGUUUAUUUGAUAGUACCUUACUACAUGGAUAACCGUGGUAAUUCUAGAGCUAAUACAUGCUAAAAACCCCGACUUCGGGAGGGGUGUAUUUAUUAGAUAAAAAACCAACGCCCUUCGGGGCUUCUUGGUGAUUCAUAAUAACUUAACGAAUCGCAUGGCCUUGCGCCGGCGAUGGUUCAUUCAAAUUUCUGCCCUAUCAACUUUCGAUGGUAGGAUAGUGGCCUACCAUGGUAUCAACGGGUAACGGGGAAUUAGGGUUCUAUUCCGGAGAGGGAGCCUGAGAAACGGCUACCACAUCCAAGGAAGGCAGCAGGCGCGCAAAUUACCCAAUCCCGACGCGGGGAGGUAGUGACAAUAAAUACUGAUACAGGGCUCUUUUGGGUCUUGUAAUUGGAAUGAGUACAAUUUAAAUCCCUUAACGAGGAACAAUUGGAGGGCAAGUCUGGUGCCAGCAGCCGCGGUAAUUCCAGCUCCAAUAGCGUAUAUUAAAGUUGUUGCAGUUAAAAAGCUCGUAGUUGAACCUUGGGCCUGGCUGGCCGGUCCGCCUCACCGCGUGCACUGGUCCGGCCGGGCCUUUCCUUCUGGGGAGCCGCAUGCCCUUCACUGGGUGUGUCGGGGAACCAGGACUUUUACUUUGAAAAAAUUAGAGUGUUCAAAGCAGGCCUUUGCUCGAAUACAUUAGCAUGGAAUAAUAGAAUAGGACGUGCGGUCCUAUUUUGUUGGUUUCUAGGACCGCCGUAAUGAUUAAUAGGGAUAGUCGGGGGCAUCAGUAUUCAAUUGUCAGAGGUGAAAUUCUUGGAUUUAUUGAAGACUAACUACUGCGAAAGCAUUUGCCAAGGAUGUUUUCAUUAAUCAGUGAACGAAAGUUAGGGGAUCGAAGACGAUCAGAUACCGUCGUAGUCUUAACCGUAAACUAUGCCGACUAGGGAUCGGGCGAUGUUAUCAUUUUGACUCGCUCGGCACCUUACGAGAAAUCAAAGUCU
rnacentral:rRNA from 1 species